AUUUUUAAAAUGCUGCAGUAUGCAAUGUGCUCUCUGCGGGGGGGAACGGGGGUAUUUCAUCUGUGGCGAGGCGACUAGUGUGACUAGGCGAUGCCGCGCAGCGGGACUGUCUUGCUGUCUGCACCGCUCGGUCAAUCCGCGUCGGCAGCGUCGUUACCGAACAGUCACUUUGUCACGUGUGAAACGCACACGAUAACGAGAUGUCGAUACCCCUGCGUUCAAAAUGAGCGCCGAUCGAUCUCGCGCACCUCCUCCACGACAGCCGCGCGCGCCCGCGCGGGCUCCCCUGGACCGCGGCCAGGUGCGCUCCUCCGACGCAGUGAUAUCUCACUGAGCAUGCGCACGAAUCACCAUCCGGCGCGCCGUCGAAAGCCAAGGGGAGAGGACGUUGUGAGCGCUUCGGUUUCGUGCUGUACGGAAAUGCGAGAAAGCUCUCGUAAUGACUACAACAAAGAGGAGCGAUCCUGACACCCCCACACUGUGGCACGAUGCAGAGCUCUGCUGGAAUUAAUCACCACGGUAGCCGGCCGUUCCCACUCACCCUCCCCUUCCCGUGGGCACGGCCAUCACUGUCCACCUUUGCAUACAGGUGAGGUGCUGUGGGCAUUGGAACAUGGAUCUUGCAGCAGGAGGAAAGUGACAGUCGAGAUUUUCACGUCUGUUAUAUUUCACAGUUAAGGUUGGCACACAGAGGGAAAGAGAGAAAAGAGAAGGCAAGCUGUAUCCUUUCAGCUGGUAAACUCUGUGCAAAAACGGUAGCUUUCAGAAAUGUUGUGAAUUAAAGUAUCUAAUUACAGUCCAUUGGCAACAGCAGUUUGCAUUUAACCUUCAAUGUCGAAUAUAGUAACAUGAGAGGCCUUCAGAAGCUGGCGUUUCCAGUCCCUGGAAGGGUAUGCUUCGUGAUGUGUAUCCCUUCUUCGAACCUGUGAAUACUGAGGAUAUCUGUUCUCAGGAAGUGCAUGAUGUGUAGGAGCGGAACGAGGAUCUUUUUUUUUUUUUUUUGACUCUCUGUCUUCUGUGUCUGGUCCAGCAGGUCCUUGUAGAAACGUGGGGCUCUCUGCAGCCAAUUGCAUUCAAUCACUCUGAAGUCAAUAAACACAGACCCUCUAAAUCUAAUAACCCUCA
rnacentral:lncRNA from 1 species